GUUAUGGCUACUGCUACUACACCAGGUAAUGCACUAAUAUUUCACUUACUGUGGAAGGUGUUUAUAGUAGUCAGGGCAUUAUAGAGUUGAAGUAACUCUGAGAUCUGUAUCUGCAUUAGCUGGGUAUAAUUAUGUGUAUGCACAUGGAUCCAGUACUUUGCCAUCACGAUUGUAGCCAGAUUGUAUUGCUGCAUUAGGGCUGAAGUUGUUCAGGUGCCUCGCUAGUAGUAGCCUGGCUAAUUAUGUUUAAAACUCUGUAUAAGGGUCUGUAGUAUAACCCUACUGGCUAAUCGGGGUGUAACCAGAGUACCUCUGCUGAAGGUAAUUAUGUAAUUAGCCAAAGGUGUUGUGGCUCUCAUUCCAGUCCUGAGUUCCCAGAGUAUAGCACCAUAGGCUGGGAAGGGCAUAUGGCAGGGAAUGACCUGGUCUCUCAAGGGAUGUCACAUUCGCACUGCUUGGGAUGACCUAUGCUUUCCAAUUUAUGGACUGUGCCAUCAUAGUCUCUAGAGGUAAGUUCUACCUACAUCUCCCUGCCUAGGGCCCAGUUAUCUGGCCCAUAGUAUUGCCUGCGCAACAGUAAAUUACUUGCCCUGAAGUAUUCUCCCUUGGGUGAGGGUGCCUCCAGCUGGGAAGCUUGAAACAGGGUGUUUUUGACUUCCAUCAAAUUAGUCCGAAUACAGGGCAUACACACUGGUUAGGUCUAGAAGCUCUAACCUUAACUCAUACUUGAAAGACAUUCCUUAUUCCUACCCAGUUGUCUACAUUGGCUGGGAUUGUCUUCCUGUUCCUAUGCUAUAUAUUAGUUUAGCGGCAUGGUGGCUAUGAGUAUGCCUUCCCGUCCAGGGUAUAUCAUAUGUAGUGGCAUUGCCGUUCAUGUCUUCUGUCAUGGGUUGCCCUGCUUGUCUCAUUUUAUGCUAGUCCCCAUAAAGGGACAGCAUAUAGCCCAAAAAUUAGGGACUGUUUUGUCAUUGCAGUACCUGAGAUUCCUGGAAUUAGGUUACUCUUGUGGAGGGUUAUCAUUCUAGUAUGUGACCUCGGCAUGAGAGCAACCUUUAAAGAUUGUUAUGGGAUAGAGUGCUACUAGCGGUCAAGAGGUCAGCAUAAGCACAUAUAGGACUCAUAAAGGUCUGACAGGGCUCACAUGGUUUCUGCCUAUAGUACUUCCUUCAUGAUGCAUAUCUUCUACCUUGUAAUGUUCAUGUUGCAUUAGUUCCAGAUACUGAUAUGUAUAGA